GGAUUGUGGCUGAGUGGUAGAGCACUCGCCUAGCAUGUGCGAGGCUCUGAGUUCAAUCCUCAGCACCA
rnacentral:tRNA from 1 species